UGAUUGAUGGUGCUUGCACCUGAUUGAUUUUGGUCGCCAACGAGUGGCGGACGGGUGAGUAACACGUAGGUAACCUGCCCAGAAGCGGGGGACAACAUUUGGAAACAGAUGCUAAUACCGCAUAACAGCGUUGUUCGCAUGAACAACGCUUAAAAGAUGGCUUCUCGCUAUCACUUCUGGAUGGACCUGCGGUGCAUUAGCUUGUUGGUGGGGUAACGGCCUACCAAGGCGAUGAUGCAUAGCCGAGUUGAGAGACUGAUCGGCCACAAUGGGACUGAGACACGGCCCAUACUCCUACGGGAGGCAGCAGUAGGGAAUCUUCCACAAUGGGCGCAAGCCUGAUGGAGCAACACCGCGUGAGUGAAGAAGGGUUUCGGCUCGUAAAGCUCUGUUGUUAAAGAAGAACACGUAUGAGAGUAACUGUUCAUACGUUGACGGUAUUUAACCAGAAAGUCACGGCUAACUACGUGCCAGCAGCCGCGGUAAUACGUAGGUGGCAAGCGUUAUCCGGAUUUAUUGGGCGUAAAGAGAGUGCAGGCGGUUUUCUAAGUCUGAUGUGAAAGCCUUCGGCUUAACCGGAGAAGUGCAUCGGAAACUGGAUAACUUGAGUGCAGAAGAGGGUAGUGGAACUCCAUGUGUAGCGGUGGAAUGCGUAGAUAUAUGGAAGAACACCAGUGGCGAAGGCGGCUACCUGGUCUGCAACUGACGCUGAGACUCGAAAGCAUGGGUAGCGAACAGGAUUAGAUACCCUGGUAGUCCAUGCCGUAAACGAUGAGUGCUAGGUGUUGGAGGGUUUCCGCCCUUCAGUGCCGGAGCUAACGCAUUAAGCACUCCGCCUGGGGAGUACGACCGCAAGGUUGAAACUCAAAGGAAUUGACGGGGGCCCGCACAAGCGGUGGAGCAUGUGGUUUAAUUCGAAGCUACGCGAAGAACCUUACCAGGUCUUGACAUCUUGCGCCAACCCUAGAGAUAGGGCGUUUCCUUCGGGAACGCAAUGACAGGUGGUGCAUGGUCGUCGUCAGCUCGUGUCGUGAGAUGUUGGGUUAAGUCCCGCAACGAGCGCAACCCUUGUUACUAGUUGCCAGCAUUAAGUUGGGCACUCUAGUGAGACUGCCGGUGACAAACCGGAGGAAGGUGGGGACGACGUCAGAUCAUCAUGCCCCUUAUGACCUGGGCUACACACGUGCUACAAUGGACGGUACAACGAGUCGCGAACUCGCGAGGGCAAGCAAAUCUCUUAAAACCGUUCUCAGUUCGGACUGCAGGCUGCAACUCGCCUGCACGAAGUCGGAAUCGCUAGUAAUCGCGGAUCAGCAUGCCGCGGUGAAUACGUUCCCGGGCCUUGUACAC
rnacentral:rRNA from 2 species